ACAUACAGGGACACAGACAUUUUGAUAUGUAGGAUACUACCCAACAUUUUAAAGACCCAUCAGAGGCAUGAGCUUCAUCUGAGAAGGUCACAUGAAUAGGUUGGGCUUAUAGAACGUCAGCAGUGGGGAAACAAAACCCAGCAAUCAAACUCUAUGGCCAUAAAUUAUCUUGAUCUGUAAGCAGAUGGAGCCAGAUCCAAACUGAAGAAAUAUCAGGAGGGGAUCAGAGUGGGUGAAGUGUGGGGGUCAGAGAUGAGAAACAGAAGAAAAGAGGGACGGGAAAAAAAAAGUGUCAUCUAGGACCACAGUUCUAUCUAGGAAACUUUGAGCCACAGUGACAUACUCUAUCAAAGCAAUGCCUCUAAUUCUCCAGGGAGCUUGAAGUAACUGCUCUAAUCUGGAAACAAAAUGGCAGAAAAGCAGAAUGAAGUGUAACAUCAAGUAGUAGAAUGAAAGAGAUUCUGGUAUAGAUUCCAUUUCAAGAGCUAACAUUUAGUGACUACUGAUGCUAUGUGCCAGGACCAUGCUAACCUUUAUCUGCAUUAGUUCACCUCCUUAACAACAUACAAAGUGAAACUCUUUGCUUCUUUUUCUAGAUGAACAGGCUUAGAGAAUCAAAUAUAUUGCCACAGGUUUCAAGAAAGUGAGAUAUCACCUCUCAUAGGAAAAUGUUGGUGAGGAGGCGGAGAAAGGGAACCCGGGUGCGUUGUGGGUGGGAAUGCAAGCUGGUGUAGCAGCUCUGGAAAACAGUAUGGAGGAUCCUCAAAAAAUUAAAAAUAGAACUACUCUAUGAUCCAGCAAUUCUACUUCUGAGUAUUUAUUCAAAGAAAUUGAAAGCACUAGCUCAAAAAGAUAUCUGUACCCCCAAGUUCACUAGAGCAUUACUUAAAAUAGCCAAGACAUGAAAACAACUUAAGUGUCCAUCAAAUGAUGAAUAUAUAUAUGCCAUGUUUUAUGUUUUAUUUAUUCAUGUAUUUUAUACACACACACACACACACACACACACACACACACACAUACACACAGGAAUAUUAUUCAGCCAUAGAAAAGAAGAAACUUCUGAUAUUCAUGACUACAUGGAUGGAACCUGAGAGCAUUAUGCUGAGUAAAAUAAGUCAGACAGAAAAAGGCAAAUACUUUAUGAUCCCACAUAUAUGUGGAAUCUAAAAAAACCUGAACUCACAGAUACAGCUACAUAUCAUGGUUGCCAGCAGGUGGGGGGAGCUGGGUGAAAUGGUUGAAGGGGAUCAAGAGGUACAGAAAAGAAGUAAAUGGCAUAGCUAGAUCUUAAACCCAAGGCCUUAAGCCCUGACUUUAAUCAUCAUGGUGUCUCCCUAAGUGGAACUAUUUUCUAUCGCCCAAGGUAGAUUAUAAACAUGCAUAUACACUAUAAACCCUCUCCCCCAACACACACACACAGUUUAUAAUAUACAUGUAAACAGUUCUUGCUCAGGUGUCUUUAGGGUAAAUUCUUAUGUUGCAGACCACAAAUGCUGCCAUAUUGCCCCUCAGGACUUCCCCCUUUUUUGGUUAGAAUUUCUUCCUUGAAACACAAAGAACAUUUCUGACAGGACUACGAGCUCUCUCCUGAUUUCUGUCUCCCCUAAGAGUCCUGGAAGCCUGCACACCACCUCCAGGCUCCCCUGUGGGAAGCUUCAGUGAGGUUCCUCAGUGGAUCUGCAGAGCCCGGGCUGAAAUAUGCCUACACAGAUGCUUAAGAGAGCGGUUAGGACAGGGUUAUAAAAAUAAAAACCUGGCUCGGUGCCUUCCUGUUAUUUUAUCUAUUAUGUACCCAGCACAGUGGUCUGCUUUGCAAAAGAGGCCAUAGAUGAAAAGUUUAUCCUGAGGCACCAGUGUGACUCAGUUGAGUAAGCACCCUACUCUUGGUUUGGCUCAGGUCAUGAUCUCAGGGUCCCAAGAUGGAGCCCCACCUCGGGCUCUGUGCUCAGCAUGGAGUCUGCUAGAGGGUUUCCUUCUUCUGCCACUCCUGCUGCCUGUGUGUGCACAUGCGCUCUGUGUGUCUCUCAAA
rnacentral:lncRNA from 1 species